UACAGAGGUCCCGAGCGUUGUUCGGAUUCACUGGGCGUAAAGGGUGCGUAGGUGGCGUGGUAAGUUUGAUGUGAAAGCUCAGGGCUUAACCCUGAAAUGGCAUUGAAUACUACUGUGCUGGAGGUUUGGAGGGGGGACUGGAACUCUUGGUGUAGCAGUGAAAUGCGUAGAUAUCAAGAGGAACACCAGUGGCGAAGGCGAGUCCCUGGACAACACCUGACACUGAGGCACGAAAGCUAGGGGAGCAAACAGG
rnacentral:rRNA from 1 species